rnacentral:rRNA from 1 species
GUGAGGAAUAUUGGUCAAUGGGCGAGAGCCUGAACCAGCCAAGUCGCGUGAAGGAAGAAGGAUCUAUGGUUCGUAAACUUCUUUUGCAGGGGAAUAAAGUGCAGGACGUGUCCUGUUUUGUAUGUACCCUGAGAAUAAGGAUCGGCUAACUCCGUGCCAGCAGCCGCGGUAAUACGGAGGAUCCGAGCGUUAUCCGGAUUUAUUGGGUUUAAAGGGUGCGUAGGUGGUUUGAUAAGUCAGCGGUGAAAGUUUGCAGCUUAACUGUAAAAAUGCCGUUGAAACUGUCGGACUAGAGUGUAAAUGAGGUAGGCGGAAUGCGUGGUGUAGCGGUGAAAUGCAUAGAUAUCACGCAGAACUCCGAUUGCGAAGGCAGCUUACUAAGCUACAACUGACACUGAAGCACGAAAGCGUGGGGAUCAAACAGGAUUAGAAACCCCGGUAGUCC